rnacentral:rRNA from 1 species
CAGUCGCCACGGUAAAACGAAGGGGGCUAGCGUUGUUCGGAAUUACUGGGCGUAAAGCGCACGUAGGCGGAUAUUUAAGUCAGGGGUGAAAUCCCAGAGCUCAACUCUGGAACUGCCUUUGAUACUGGGUAUCUUGAGUAUGGAAGAGGUGAGUGGAAUUCCGAGUGUAGAGGUGAAAUUCGUAGAUAUUCGGAGGAACACCAGUGGCGAAGGCGGCUCACUGGUCCAUUACUGACGCUGAGGUGCGAAAGCGUGGGGAGCAAACAGGAUUAGAUACCCCCGUAGUCCCUGUCUCUUAUAC